UACGGAGGGUGCAAGCGUUAUCCGGAUUCACUGGGUUUAAAGGGUGCGUAGGCGGGUAAGUAAGUCCGUGGUGAAAUCUCUGAGCUUAACUCAGAAACUGCCGUGGAUACUAUUUGCCUUGAAUAUUGUGGAGGUGAGCGGAAUAUGUCAUGUAGCGGUGAAAUGCUUAGAUAUGACAUAGAACACCAAUUGCGAAGGCAGCUCACUACACAAUCAUUGACGCUGAGGCACUAAAGCGUGGGGAUCAAACAGG
rnacentral:rRNA from 1 species